rnacentral:piRNA from 1 species
UCUAAUUUUGGUGCCAUGUGUACCUUGC